UACGAAGGGGGCUAGCGUUGUUCGGAAUUACUGGGCGUAAAGCGUGCGCAGGCGGUUUUUCAAGUCAGAGGUGAAAGCCCCGGGCUCAACCCGGGAAUGGCCUUUGAGACUGGAAAGCUAGAGUGUGAGAGAGGUGAGUGGAAUUCCCAGUGUAGAGGUGAAAUUCGUAGAUAUUGGGAAGAACACCCGUGGCGAAGGCGGCUCACUGGCCCGUUACCGACGCUCAGGCGCGACAGCGUGGGGAGCAAACAGG
rnacentral:rRNA from 1 species